AGAAAGACUCUUUGCAUUUUACAAUGCAAGGACCCUAUUAGGCAUGUUUCUGAUCAAAUGACAAAUAUUCUCUUGCAGAAUUUCUUGCUAUGUUUCAUGCAGUAAUCUCAAAAGAUCUGGCUUUGAAGAUGCUUUCUUGUUCUUUUUAUGAAGUGUUCUGUCCAUUAUGUCCCAGAGGUUUUCAAUAGGGUUCAUAUCUGGUGACUGACUUG